rnacentral:tRNA from 1 species
GGAGGGGUGGCAGAGCGGACGAUUGCGAUGGUCUUGAAAACCAUUGGCCGGCAACGGCUCGCGGGUUCGAAUCCCGCCCCCUCCGCCA